GUUUCUCCAGUGCGGGGAAGAAUGAGAAGCUUCGACCAAGGUUCGAUUCGAGCGUAGCGAGAAAGCGUUGCCGCAGGCAACGACCCGAAGGGCGAGGCGCAACGCGCCGAGUAAUCCUUCCCCCACCACCA
rnacentral:sRNA from 1 species